rnacentral:rRNA from 1 species
UACGGGGGGGGCAAGCGUUGUUCGGAAUUACUGGGCGUAAAGGGCUCGUAGGCGGCCAACUAAGUCAGACGUGAAAUCCCUCGGCUUAACCGGGGAACUGCGUCUGAUACUGGAUGGCUUGAGUUUGGGAGAGGGAUGCGGAAUUCCAGGUGUAGCGGUGAAAUGCGUAGAUAUCUGGAGGAACACCUAUAGCGAAGGCAGCUUGCUGGGACGGUACUGACGCUAAGGCACGAAAGCGUGGGGAGCGAACAGG